CAAUAGCGUAUAUUAGAGUUGUUGCGGUAAAAAAGCUCGUAGUUGGAUUUCUGUUGAGAGCGACCGGUCCAUACCAUGUAUGCGUAUCUGGCUUGCUCUCGGCAUCCUCUCGAUAGACGUUACUGCGCUUGAUUGCGUGGUGCGGAUCUCGGGACUUUUACUUUGAGGAAAUUAGAGUGUUCACGGCAGGCUUUCGCCAGAAUACAUUAGCAUGGAAUAAUACUAUAGGAUCUUGGUUCUAUUUUGUUGGUUUCUAGAAUUGAGAUAAUGAUUAAUAGGGACAAUUGGGGGCAUUCGUAUCAACACGUCAGAGGUGGAAUUCUUGGAUUGUGUUGCGACGAACUACUGCGAAAGCAUUUGCCAAGGAUGUUUUCAUUGA
rnacentral:rRNA from 1 species